GAUGAAGAACGUAGCGAAAUGCGAAAAGUAAUGUGAAUUGCAGAAUUCAGUGAAUCAUCGAAUCUUUGAACGCACAUUGCGCCCGCUGGUACUCCGGCGGGCACGCCUGUCCGAGCGUCAUUUCAACCCUCAAGCCCUCCUUCGGGAUGGGCCUGGUGUUGGGGCUCGGCCGCCAUCUCCGGCGGCCGUCCCCUAAAUACAGUGGCGGUCACGUCGCGACUCCUUUGCGUAGUAGAAACACCUCGCUCCGGAUAGCAACGCGGUCCACGCCGUAAAAUCCCCAAUUUUCAAUGGUUGACCUCGGAUCAGGUGGGAAUACCCGCUGAACUUACGCAUAUCAAUAAGCGGAGGA
rnacentral:misc_RNA from 1 species